rnacentral:rRNA from 1 species
UACGGAGGGGGCUAGCGUUGUUCGGAAUUACUGGGCGUAAAGCGUACGUAGGCGGCUUUGUAAGUUAGAGGUGAAAGCCCGGAGCUCAACUCCGGAACUGCCAUUGAAACUGUUUAGCUUGAGGACGAGAGAGGUGAGUGGAAUUCCCAGUGUAGAGGUGAAAUUCGUAGAUAUUGGGAAGAACACCAGUGGCGAAGGCGGCUCACUGGCUCGUUUCUGACGCUCAGGCGCGAUAGCGUGGGGAUCAAACAGG